UGGGGAAUAUUGCACAAUGGGCGGAAGCCUGAUGCAGCGACGCCGCGUGGGGGAUGAAGGCCUUCGGGUUGUAAACUCCUUUCGACAGGGACGAAGCUUUUGUGACGGUACCUGUAUAAGAAGCACCGGCUAACUACGUGCCAGCAGCCGCGGUAAUACGCAGGGUGCGAGCGUUGUCCGGAAUUACUGGGCGUAAAUAGCUCGUAGGUGGUUUGUCGCGGCGUCUGUGAAAUUCCGGGGCUUAACUCCGGGCGUGCAGGCGAUACGGGCUGACUUGAGUGCUGUAGGGGGGACUGGAAUUCCUGGUGUAGCGGUGAAAUGCGCAGAUAUCAGGAGGAACACCGAUGGCGAAGGCAGGUCUCUGGGCAGUAACUGACACUGAGGAGCGAAAGCAUGGGUAGCGAACAGG
rnacentral:rRNA from 1 species